UCACACACACACACACACACACACACGCGCGCGCGCGCGCGCGCGCGCGCGCACACACACACACACCCCAGGACUGGAGCUCAGGGGAGGAGAGGGAAUGAGCACUGGGCCCACUCGAGGGCGUCCCAGGUCUCUGGGGGAUUCCCAUGGGUGGCAGGGGUGCUGACAGCACCCACAAUGGAGUCCCCAUCCUAACCCAAGAACAGCCUGACCCACGAUGGCUACACCGGCAAUGGUGUCC